rnacentral:lncRNA from 1 species
AGCCUUGCCUAUGUCCUACAUGGCAAGUUCACAGCACCUGUCCUGACUACUCUGUCCCUGUGGUCUGUCUGGUCCCCAGGUCAUGGCUGUCCCUUACCCCAUCUGUUGGGCUGACUUGGCCUUGGUUUUCCAAAUGGGCUUUGUACCCACCUUUAUGUCCUGCAGGGCUGGGGGCAGGAUCUCUGCCAGGUUGUUUCCAGACAUGCUGAUGUUUGCG